rnacentral:rRNA from 1 species
UACGUAGGGGGCAAGCGUUGUCCGGAUUUAUUGGGCGUAAAGAGCGUGUAGGCGGCUUUGCAAGUCCGUUGUGAAAACUCGAGGCUCAACCUCGAGACGCCGAUGGAAACCAUCUGGCUAGAGUCCGGAAGAGGAGAGUGGAAUUCCUGGUGUAGCGGUGAAAUGCGCAGAUAUCAGGAGGAACACCAAUGGCGAAGGCAGCUCGCUGGGACGGUACUGACGCUGAGGCGCGAAAGCGUGGGGAGCAAACAGG